UUGCCAGACUCCUACGGGAGGCAGCAGUGGGGAAUAUUGCACAAUGGGGGAAACCCUGAUGCAGCAACGCCGUGUGAGUGAAGAAGCGUUUCGGCGCGUAAAGCUCUGUCAGCGGGGAAGAAAGAAGACGGUACCCGACCAAGAAGCCCCGGCUAACUACGUGCCAGCAGCCGCGGUAAUACGUAGGGGGCAAGCGUUAUCCGGAUUUACUGGGUGUAAAGGGAGCGUAGACGGCGCUGCAAGUCCGGAGUGAAAGUCCAUGGCUUAACCAUGGUACUGCUCUGGAAACUGUGGAGCUUGAGUGCGGGAGGGGCAGGCGGAAUUCCUAGUGUAGCGGUGAAAUGCGUAGAUAUUAGGAGGAACACCGGCGGCGAAGGCGGCCUGCUGGACCGUAACUGACGUUGAGGCUCGAAAGCGUGGGGGGCAAACAGGAUUAGAUACCCGUGUAC
rnacentral:rRNA from 1 species